rnacentral:rRNA from 1 species
UACGUAGGUGGCAAGCGUUGUCCGGAUUUACUGGGCGUAAAGAGCGCGCAGGCGGUCGUCCAAGUCGCGUGUGAAAGCCCCCGGCUCAACUUGGGGGAGGGUCACGCGAUACUGGUCGACUCGAAGGCAGGAGAGGGUAGUGGAAUUCCCGGUGUAGUGGUGAAAUGCGUAGAUAUCGGGAGGAACACCAGUGGCGAAGGCGACUACCUGGCCUGUUCUUGACGCUGAGGCGCGAAAGCUAGGGGAGCAA